GACGAACGCUGGCGGCGUGCUUAACGCAUGCAAGUCGAACGGUUAAGCCCCAGCUUGCUGGCGUGGAUCAGUGGCGAACGGGUGAGUAACACGUGAGCAACCUGCCCCAGCCCCUGGAGUAAGCGCUGGAAACGGCGUCUAAUACUGGAUACGAGAUCAAGCCGCAUGGUUAUGGUCUGGUAAGUUUUUCGGUUUGGGAUGGGGUAGCGGCCUAUAAGCUUGUUGGUGAGGUAAUGUCGCACCAAGGCGACGACGGGUAGCCGGCCUGAGAGGGCGACCGGCCACACUGGGACUGAGACACGGCCCAGACUCCUACGGGAGGCAGCAGUGGGGAAUAUUGCACAAUGGGCGAAAGCCUGAUGCAGCGACGCCGCGUGAGGGAUGACAGCCUUCGGGUUGUAAACCUCUUUCAGCAGGGAAGAAGCGAAAGUGACGGUACCUGCAGAAGAAGCACCGGCUAACUACGUG
rnacentral:rRNA from 1 species